ACGACUCUCGGCAACGGAUAUCUCGGCUCACGCAUCGAUGAAGAACGUAGCAAAAUGCGAUACUUGGUGUGAAUUGCAGAAUCCCGUGAACCAUCGAGUUUUUGAACGCAAGUUGCGCCCGAAGCCAUUUGGUUGAGGGCACGUCUGCCUGGGCGUCACGU
rnacentral:rRNA from 1 species